rnacentral:tRNA from 1 species
AGCCCUGUAGUCUAGCGGCCAAGGAUGCAGGCCUUUGGAGCCUGAGACCCCGGUUCGAAUCCGGGCAGGGCUA